rnacentral:rRNA from 1 species
GUUUCAUGGGGUUUUUUCCACCUCCCCAAAACCCCACUAUUUCAGAACCCAAGUUUUUCUUUGCGGGCAUUUCUUCCCCCGCGGGGGUUGGGCAACCCCGAACCCAGGGGGGGGCAGGGGAGACUACCACAAACUUUUUUUUUUAGCCGCCCUCACCCUAAUGUGAGCAUUGUUGGCCCCUCUCGUCGCCCUCUGGAGAAUGAAUGAAAAAAUACAACAACGGAUCUCUCGGUUCUGGCAUCGAUGAAGAACGCAGCGAAAUGCGAUAAGUAAUGUGAAUUGCAGAAUUCAGUGAAUCAUCGAAUCUUUGAACGCACAUUGCGCCCGCCAGUAUUCUGGCGGGCAUGCCUGUCCGAGCUUCAUUUCAACCCUCGAACCCCUCCGGGGGGUCGGCGGUGGGGAUCGGCCCUGCCUCUUGGCGGUGACCGUCUCCGAAAUACAGUGGCGGUCUCGCCGCAGCCUCUCCUGCGCAGUAGUUUGCACACUCGCAUCGGGAGCGCGGCGCGUCCACAGCCGUUAAACACCCAACUUUCUGAAAUGUGACGACUCGGAUCAGGUAGGAAUACCCGCGAACUACCUU